GGUAACACUGAAUGGAGGACCGAACCGACUUACGUUGAAAAGUGAGCGGAUGAACUGAGGGUAGCGGAGAAAUUCCAAUCGAACCUGGAGAUAGCUGGUUCUCUCCGAAAUAGCUUUAGGGCUAGCCUCAAGUGAUGAUUAUUGGAGGUAGAGCACUGUUUGGACGAGGGGCCCCUCUCGGGUUACCGAAUUCAGACAAACUCCGAAUGCCAAUUAAUUUAACUUGGGAGUCAGAACAUGGGUGAUAAGGUCCGUGUUCGAAAGGGAAACAGCCCAGACCACCAGCUAAGGUCCCAAAAUAUAUGUUAAGUGGAAAAGGAUGUGGCGUUGCCCAGACAACUAGGAUGUUGGCUUAGAAGCAGCCAUCAUUUAAAGAGUGCGUAAUAGCUCACUAGUCGAGUGACACUGCGCCGAAAAUGUACCGGGGCUAAACAUAUUACCGAAGCUGUGGAUUGUCCUUUGGACAAUGGUAGGAGAGCGUUCUAAGGGCGUUGAAGCAUGAUCGUAAGGACAUGUGGAGCGCUUAGAAGUGAGAAUGCCGGUGUGAGUAGCGAAAGACGGGUGAGAAUCCCGUCCACCGAUUGACUAAGGUUUCCAGAGGAAGGCUCGUCCGCUCUGGGUUAGUCGGGUCCUAAGCUGAGGCCGACAGGCGUAGGCGAUGGAUAACAGGUUGAUAUUCCUGUACCACCUAUAAUCGUUUUAAUCGAUGGGGGGACGCAGUAGGAUAGGCGAAGCGUGCGAUUGGAUUGCACGUCUAAGCAGUAAGGCUGAGUAUUAGGCAAAUCCGGUACUCGUUAAGGCUGAGCUGUGAUGGGGAGAAGACAUUGUGUCUUCGAGUCGUUGAUUUCACACUGCCGAGAAAAGCCUCUAGAUAGAAAAUAGGUGCCCGUACCGCAAACCGACACAGGUAGUCAAGAUGAGAAUUCUAAGGUGAGCGAGCGAACUCUCGUUAAGGAACUCGGCAAAAUGACCCCGUAACUUCGGGAGAAGGGGUGCUCUUUAGGGUUAACGCCCAGAAGAGCCGCAGUGAAUAGGCCCAAGCGACUGUUUAUCAAAAACACAGGUCUCUGCUAAACCGUAAGGUGAUGUAUAGGGGCUGACGCCUGCCCGGUGCUGGAAGGUUAAGAGGAGUGGUUAGCUUCUGCGAAGCUACGAAUCGAAGCCCCAGUAAACGGCGGCCGUAACUAUAACGGUCCUAAGGUAGCGAAAUUCCUUGUCGGGUAAGUUCCGACCCGCACGAAAGGCGUAACGAUUUGGGCACUGUCUCAACGAGAGACUCGGUGAAAUCAUAGUACCUGUGAAGAUGCAGGUUACCCGCGACAGGACGGAAAGACCCCGUGGAGCUUUACUGUAGCCUGAUAUUGAAAUUCGGCACAGCUUGUACAGGAUAGGUAGGAGCCUUUGAAACGUGAGCGCUAGCUUACGUGGAGGCGCUGGUGGGAUACUACCCUAGCUGUGUUGGCUUUCUAACCCGCACCACUUAUCGUGGUGGGAGACAGUGUCAGGCGGGCAGUUUGACUGGGGCGGUCGCCUCCUAAAAGGUAACGGAGGCGCUCAAAGGUUCCCUCAGAAUGGUUGGAAAUCAUUCAUAGAGUGUAAAGGCAUAAGGGAGCUUGACUGCGAGACCUACAAGUCGAGCAGGGUCGAAAGACGGACUUAGUGAUCCGGUGGUUCCGCAUGGAAGGGCCAUCGCUCAACGGAUAAAAGCUACCCCGGGGAUAACAGGCUUAUCUCCCCCAAGAGUUCACAUCGACGGGGAGGUUUGGCACCUCGAUGUCGGCUC
rnacentral:rRNA from 1 species